rnacentral:misc_RNA from 1 species
GCCAAUAAAAACUAAUACAGGCUAAAACAAACAAAAUACUCAUACAUAUAUACGGGGGUGAUGAGAUGCAGCUGAUGCAAAGAGGAAGCCCCACAGCCGGCUGUCACCGAGAUAAAUUGGCUUUAUUUGGUUUCAUCUUCGUGUAUCUAAGUCAAAUGGGAAUCUAUUUAGAGUUGGCCGGUGAUCUCUUUGCUGGACGAUGAAGGAGAAGCGGAGGGAUAAAGAACCGCCCGCCCGAUCCACGAGAUGCUCGACAGCACGCCGACGAAAUAGAAUAGCAUCACCAUCCCCAGCACCCACGGCAUCAUGAUGAAUCCGAUGACGAAGGUGACAGAUCCGCAGAGCAUGAGCGCGAGCGAGACGCCGAGAAGCAGCGCGGCGACGCCGGCCGGCGAGAGCUUAGGGCGGCGGCGGAGCGGAGGAGGGGCGGCGGCGUCGAGGGGGAGGGGGGAGCGGAGGA